UAUUUUAAAUCGUGUAUUUGGUAGUUGACUACCAAAGUGGUAGUUGACUACCAAACUAAUACGGAGGUUGUAGAGAUGUUUAUUGUUUGAGAGCUGCACACAGACUGAUGAAAUUAGUCGGCUCGCCUGCCUAUUUAUAAUUCGAAAAUUUG